UUUGUAUAAGUGCGAUGUGGGGACGGAGAAGGUUACCUCAGCCAACGGUUGGAAGAGUUGGUUCAAGCGUGUAGGUGUGUGGCUUAGGCAAAUCCGGGCUGCUUUAACACUGAGGCGUGAUGACGAGUCUACUUGUAGACGAAGUGAGCGAUACCCUGCUUCCAAGAAAAGCCACUAAGCUUCAGCUUAUAUUGAACCGUACCGCAAACCGACACAGGUGGGUAGGAUGAGAAUUCUAAGGUGCUUGAGAGAACUCGGGAGAAGGAACUCGGCAAAUUGACACCGUAACUUCGGGAGAAGGUGUGCCUCUAGUAGGUGAAGGUGUACAACCGGAGCCCAAUGAGGCCGCAGAGAAAUGAGGGCUGCGACUGUUUAUCAAAAACACAGCACUGUGCUAACACGAAAGUGGAUGUAUACGGUGUGACGCCUGCCCGGUGCUGGAAGAUUAAAUGAUGGGGUGCAAGCUCUUGAUUGAAGUCCCAGUAAACGGCGGCCGUAACAAUAACGGUCCUAAGGUAGCGAAAUUCCUUGUCGGGUAAGUUCCGACCCGCACGAAUGGCGUAACGAUGGCCCUACUGUCUCCUCCCGAGACUCAGCGAAGUUGAAGUGUUUGUGAAGAUGCAAUCUCCCCGCUGCUAGACGGAAAGACCCCGUGAACCUUUACUGUAGCUUUGCAUUGGACUUUGAAGUGGUUUGUGUAGGAUAGGUGGGAGGCUUUGAAGCGUGGACGCUAGUUCGCGUGGAGCCGUCCUUGAAAUACCACCCUGACCCCUUUGAGGUUCUAACCUUGGUCCGUUAUCCGGAUCGGGGACCGUGCAUGGUAGGCAGUUUGACUGGGGCGGUCUCCUCCCAAAUUGUAACGGAGGAGCUCGAAGGUCGCCUAGGUACGGUCGGACAUCGUACUGAUAGUGUAAUGGCAAAAGGCGGCUUAACUGCGAGACCGACAAGUCGAGCAGGUGCGAAAGCAGGACAUAGUGAUCCGGUGGUUCUGAAUGGAAGGGCCAUCGCUCAACGGAUAAAAGGUACUCCGGGGAUAACAGGCUGAUUCCGCCCAAGAGUUCACAUCGACGGCGGAGUUUGGCACCUCGAUGUCGGCUCAUCACAUCCUGGGGCUGUAGCCGGUCCCAAGGGUAUGGCUGUUCGCCAUUUAAAGUGGUACGUGAGCUGGGUUCAAAACGUCGUGAGACAGUUUGGUCCCUAUCUGCAGUGGGCGUUGGAAGUUUGAGGGGGGCUGCUCCUAGUACGAGAGGACCGGAGUGGACUGACCUCUGGUACCGGUUGUCACGCCAGUGGCAUUGCCGGGUAGCUAAGUCGGGAAAAGAUAAGCGCUGAAAGCAUCUAAGCGCGAAACUUGCCUCAAGAUGUGACUUCCCUAGGUCUUUAAGACCUCUAAAGGAUCGUUCGAGACCAGGACGUUGAUAGGUCGGGUGUGGAAGCGCAGUAAUGCGUUAAGCUAACCGAUACUAAUUGCCCGUGAGGCUUGAUUC
rnacentral:rRNA from 1 species